UGCAGUCGAGCGGACCUUAAAAAGCUUGCUUUUUAAGGUUAGCGGCGGACGGGUGAGUAACACGUGGGCAACCUGCCCGUAAGACCGGGAUAACUUCGGGAAACCGGAGCUAAUACCGGAUAACACCGAGGACCGCAUGGUCCUUGGUUGAAAGGCGGCUUCGGCUGUCACUUACGGAUGGGCCCGCGGCGCAUUAGCUAGUUGGUGAGGUAACGGCUCACCAAGGCGACGAUGCGUAGCCGACCUGAGAGGGUGAUCGGCCACACUGGGACUGAGACACGGCCCAGACUCCUACGGGAGGCAGCAGUAGGGAAUCUUCCGCAAUGGACGAAAGUCUGACGGAGCAACGCCGCGUGAGCGAAGAAGGUCUUCGGAUUGUAAAGCUCUGUUGUUAGGGAAGAAGAGGUGCCGUUCGAAUAGGGCGGUACCGUGACGGUACCUAACGAGAAAGCCACGGCUAACUACGUGCCAGCAGCCGCGGUAAUACGUAGGUGGCAAGCGUUGUCCGGAAUUAUUGGGCGUAAAGCGCGCGCAGGCGGUCUCUUAAGUCUGAUGUGAAAGCCCACGGCUCAACCGUGGAGGGUCAUUGGAAACUGGGAGACUUGAGUGCAGAAGAGGAGAGCGGAAUUCCACGUGUAGCGGUGAAAUGCGUAGAGAUGUGGAGGAACACCAGUGGCGAAGGCGGCUCUCUGGUCUGUAACUGACGCUGAGGCGCGAAAGCGUGGGGAGCAAACAGGAUUAGAUACCCUGGUAGUCCACGCCGUAAACGAUGAGUGCUAAGUGUUAGAGGGGUUAUCCCUUUAGUGCUGUAGCUAACGCAUUAAGCACUCCGCCUGGGGAGUACGCUCCGAAGAAUGGAACUCCAAAGGAAUUGACGGGGGCCCGCACAAACGGUGGAACAUGUGGGUUUAAUUCCAAACAACCCGGAAAAACCUUACCAAGGCUUGGCAUCCCCUGGCAACCCU
rnacentral:rRNA from 1 species